rnacentral:rRNA from 1 species
CGUAACGGAUGCGGAGGUGGUUUCUCAAAUCAAAUGUGAAAGGCUACGGCUCAACCGUAGUAAGCCUUUGAAACUGGAAAACUUGAGUGCAGGAUAGGAGAGUGGAAUUCCUAGUGUAGCGGUGAAAUGCGUAGAUAUUAGGAGGAACACCAGUUGCGAAGGCGGAUCUCUGGACUGUAACUGACACUGAGGCACGAAAGCGUGGGCAGCAAACAAGAUUAGAUACCCUGGUAGUCCCACGCCGUAAAACGAUGUGUACUAGCAGUCGGAGCUUUGAGCCGUCGGUUGCGCAGCUAACGCAUUAAGUCGUCCCCCCUGGGGAGUACGCUCGCAAGAGUGAAAACUCAAAGGAAUUGACGGGGGACCCGCACAAGUAGCGGAGCAUGUGGUUUAAUUCGAAGCAACGCGAAGAACCUUACCUAAGCUUGACAUCCUCGGAAGGAUCAGUAAUCGCAUAUUUCCCUUCGGGGACAGAAGUCACAGGUGGUCACAGGGUUGUUCUAAGUUGGGGUGGAGAGAUGUGGGGUUAAUUCCCACACGGAGCACAACCUUAUCCUUUAGUCCACAGCAUUAAGCUGGGCACUCAAGAGAGACUGCCAGGGAUAACCUGGAGGAAGGUGGGGAUGACGUCAAGUCAUCAUGCCCCUUAUGAUCAGGGCUACACACGUGCUACAAUGGGUCAUACAGAGGGCAGCCAACUCGUGAGAGCAAGCUGAUCUCAUAAAGCCAUUUUCAGUUCGGAUUGUAGUCUGAAACUCGCCUACAUGAAGUUGGAGUUGCUAGUAAUCGCAGAUCAGAAUGCCGCGGUGAAUGCGUUCCCGGGUCUUGUACCCCCCCCCCGUCCCCCCCCGGGGAAUUGGGGGCAAAAGAAAGUAGGAAGGUUAACCUUUGGGAAGUCUCCGUCCAAGGUGAAAUCCAUAACUGGGGUG